UACGGAGGGUGCAAGCGUUAAUCGGAAUUACUGGGCGUAAAGCGCGCGUAGGCGGCUAGAUAAGUCGGAUGUGAAAGCCCCGGGCUCAACCUGGGAACUGCAUUCGAUACUGUUUGGCUAGAGUAUGAGAGAGGGAGGUAGAAUUCCACGUGUAGCGGUGAAAUGCGUAGAGAUGAGGAGGAACACCAGUGGCGAAGGCGGCCACCUGGACAGUAACUGACGCUGAGGCGCGAAAGCGUGGGUAGCAAACAGG
rnacentral:rRNA from 1 species